rnacentral:rRNA from 1 species
GAACUGAAGAGUUUGAUCCUGGCUCAGAUUGAACGCUGGCGGCAUGCCUUACACAUGCAAGUCGAACGGCAGCACGGGUGCUUGCACCUGGUGGCGAGUGGCGAACGGGUGAGUAAUACAUCGGAACAUGUCCUGUAGUGGGGGAUAGCCCGGCGAAAGCCGGAUUAAUACCGCAUACGAUCUACGGAUGAAAGCGGGGGACCUUCGGGCCUCGCGCUAUAGGGUUGGCCGAUGGCUGAUUAGCUAGUUGGUGGGGUAAAGGCCUACCAAGGCGACGAUCAGUAGCUGGUCUGAGAGGACGACCAGCCACACUGGGACUGAGACACGGCCCAGACUCCUACGGGAGGCAGCAGUGGGGAAUUUUGGACAAUGGGCGAAAGCCUGAUCCAGCAAUGCCGCGUGUGUGAAGAAGGCCUUCGGGUUGUAAAGCACUUUUGUCCGGAAAGAAAUCCUUGGCUCUAAUACAGUCGGGGGAUGACGGUACCGGAAGAAUAAGCACCGGCUAACUACGUGCCAGCAGCCGCGGUAAUACGUAGGGUGCAAGCGUUAAUCGGAAUUACUGGGCGUAAAGCGUGCGCAGGCG